CCUACGGGUGGCAGCAGUGAGGAAUAUUGGUCAAUGGACGAGAGUCUGAACCAGCCAAGUAGCGUGAAGGAUGACUGCCCUAUGGGUUGUAACCUUCUUUUAUAAAGGAAUAAAACGAGGCACGUGUGCCUUUUUGCAUGUACUUUAUGAAUAAGGAGCGGCUCACUCCGUGCCAACAGCCGCGGUAAUACGGGGGAUGCGAGCGUUAUCGGGAUUUAUUGGGGUUAUAGGGUGCGCAGGCGGGAUGUCAAGUCAGAGGUAAAAUUUCGGGGCUCAACCCCGUCGUGCCGUGGAAACUGGCGUUCUUGAGUGAGCGAGAAGUAUGCGGAAUGCGUGGUGUAGCGGUGAAAUGCAUAGAUAUCACGCAGAACUCCGAUCGCGAAGGCAGCAGACCGGCGCUCAACUGACGCUGAUGCACGAAAGCGUGGGUAUCGAACAGGAUUAGAUACCCUUGUAGUC
rnacentral:rRNA from 1 species